rnacentral:rRNA from 1 species
UACGAAGGGUGCAAGCGUUGCUCGGAAUUAUUGGGCGUAAAGGGUUGGUAGGUGGUCUUGUUUGUCUAAGGUGAAAUCCCAUGGCUUAACUGUGGAAGUGCCUUAGAAACGGCAAGACUAGAGUCCUAGAGGGGUUUGUGGAAUUCCCGGUGUAGCGGUGAAAUGCGUAGAGAUCGGGAGGAACACCAGCGGCGAAGGCGGCAAACUGGAUAGGUACUGACACUCAACAACGAAAGCGUGGGGAUCAAACAG